rnacentral:sRNA from 1 species
ACCUAGCCGUGAUUGCAGUGGAAAUCCUUUUUUGAAAAAAAAGAUUGUAACGGAAAGCGCGAAAAAGC